GAUGAACGCUGGCGGCGUGCCUAAUACAUGCAAGUCGAGCGAACAGAUAAGGAGCUUGCUCCUUUGACGUUAGCGGCGGACGGGUGAGUAACACGUGGGUAACCUACCUAUAAGACGGGAAUAACUCCGGGAAACCGGUGCUAAUGCCGGCUAACAUUUAGAACCGCAUGGUUCUUAAGUGAAAGAGGGUUUUGCUGUCACUUAUAGAUGGACCCGCGCCGUAUUAGCUAGUUGGUAAGGUAACGGCUUACCAAGGCAACGAUACGUAGCCGAUCUGAGAGGGUGAUCGGCCACACUGGAACUGAGACACGGUCCAGACUCCUACGGGAGGCAGCAGUAGGGAAUCUUCCGCAAUGGGCGAAAGCCUGAUGCAGCAACGCCGCGUGUGUGAUGAAGGUCUUCGGAUCGUAAAACUCUGUUAUUAGGGAAGAACAAAUGUGUACGUAACCGUGCACGUCUUGACGGUACCUAAUCAGAAAGCCACGGCUAACUACGUG
rnacentral:rRNA from 1 species